rnacentral:snoRNA from 1 species
AUAAGAGAAAAACAACCCCAUUAAGAAGUGGGCAAAGUAAGGUCUUUGGGGGAACAUGGAUGCUUAUUGCCUCUGCCUUCCUUGGCUGCCUACAUGG